CGGAGGCAGCAGUGGGGAAUCUUGCGCAAUGGCCUAACGGCUGACGCAGCGACGCCGCGUGAGGGAUGACGCUCUUCGGAGUGUAAACCUCUGUUGCUCGGGACGAAUGGCGCCUUUUGGCGACGUGACGGUACCGAGUGAGGAAGCACCGGCUAACUCCGUGCCAGCAGCCGCGGUAAUACGGGGGGUGCGAGCGUUGUCCGGAAUCACUGGGCGUAAAGGGCGCGUAGGUGGCUUGGUAAGUCUGUGGUGAAAGCCCGGAGCUCAACUCCGGGUCUGCCGCGGAUACUGCGAGGCUUGAGUGCUGUAGAGGGGGGUAGAAUAUCGGGUGUAGCGGUGGAAUGCGUAGAGAUCCGAUAGAAGACCGGUGGCGAAGGCGGCCCCCUGGGCAGUAACUGACACUGAGGCGCGACAGCGUGGGGAGCAAACAGGAUUAGAUACCCCGGUAGU
rnacentral:rRNA from 1 species